CCCACAACUCAUCCCACCUCUCUCUCUCUCUCUCUCUAGGUUCAACCAUGGAAACUACUCCUAUUCUAGAUAACCUCUGAUCACCAGCACCAUCGUACACCACUGCAAAACACCAUCAUCGCCAACAACAGCCACAAGUCCUUCCUCCCUCGACGUUGCCACCUCAAUGGCUACGGCCAUUCGAUUUCUCUACCUUUUAAUGAUUUCAUGUUUGAUUCCUCAAUUAAGUUUUUUCUUUUUUGUUUUUUUUACCCGAUAUCUCUACUUCUUAAUAAUUUCCUGUUUGAUUCCUACUCACUGUAAUUUUUUGGGUGUUUUUGUAGUAAUCAAAGGAGGUUUGAUUCACUUCUAAGUUACCCCACUGUAAGUUUUGAUUUGAUAAGUUCAACAUUUUCUUAUGGUGAUUGCGUUGUUCUAUUUUGAGUUGUGUUGGUUUCAUUAGAGAUUAUGGUAACUGAUAAAGUAAUUUUGGUUUGAUUCUUUAAAUGAAAUUUCUCAUUGUUGUAGGUUUUCUUACGCAUCUCUCUCUCUCUCUUGCAAAUUAGAUGUUUGAAUGGGUAUCUAUAAUUUCGUUCAUGUUUCAAUUUCAAGAGGUACUUGAGAACUUGAAUGGUCGGUGAUAAAUUUUGAAUGGUUUCUAUAUGUAAUUGCUGAAGAAAGUUUAGAAACGAUUGGUGUUUCAUCAUUCAUGUUCUUUGGUUUCUAGAGUUACUAUGAUUGGGAUAAAUUUUUUUGUUGCAAAUCGGGUACCAUGUGGUAUCCGUGCAGCACAUUUGAGCGGUCCAAACAAUGCAACCGACGGCUCAGAUUGAAACACUCUUUUCCUUUUCUCUAAAUCCGUUCAGUACCUUACAAUUCGAUCCGUUGGUUGCAUGUUUGGACAGCUCGGAUGUGCUGCACGGGUAACUCCUAUUAGGUGUUUGUUGAAAAUUCAAUGUAACGGAUGUCCAGGCAAAUAUAGAGUUUUGCUACCUCUUAGCUUAUUUAAAGUCAUUGAUUUAAAAAUUCCAAGUUAGUGGAUCCCUUGAAACUGAAACUGUAGAAACCAAUGAUUAAUUUUUUUUUUUAAAAACCUUUAUUAUUUUAUUGUGUGACUGUGCUAUCUUAAUGCGUAUACUGAAAAUGUGAAUAAUGUUAUAUGGGGGCCAUUGUGUGAUAGGAUGGAAGUUCUAGGACUUGAUGAAAUUCAAGAGAGACCCAACCCAAUAACAUCAUAUUCAAGAGAGACCCAACCCAAUAACAUCAUAUUCUAGCAAUGAAGAACUUGGGAAGUCGUGUAAUCAAGCUCAGAGGGAGUUUUCUCGGUGGCUUUCAACCAAAACAACUUAGGGCUUGGCUUGGAUCUUAGGGUUUUGUUCAAAACUCUUGAGGUAUCAAUCAAGUUGUAUAGUGUAGAGUGUCGGGGUGCAUUGUCGGAUGUCAUUGAAGCUUUAUGUUAAAAGAGUAUGUUUACAAUCUUGUCUAAUUAUGUUUUGAAAUGAAAUUGUAACUUAAAAUGUCAUAUCUUUUGUUUUAGACAAAUGUAGCGCUACUUAAUAUUUUUUUCCCUCUCCUGACUAUCAUGUAAUUUAUGAAAUGUAAACAUGUGGAUAUCUGUCUGUAAGGAGGUUUGUCUAUGAGGUGAUGUUGGCGUGAUGUACAUGAGUAUGAUAGCACGGAUAAGGCGAUGUUUUUUUUAUAUAUGGAAAAGUUAUUAUUUUUAUGUUUAAAAAUCGAGGGUGUGACAGAAACAUUGCUUAUAAGUUAUGAAAUUGGUGCUUAUGUGAACUGAUUUGUUGCUGAAUAGAUAUUAGACAUUCUAAGUUCGGAGUUCGGUGUUUGAGGAUUUGUGAUUGAAUGACCACUAUGCUUUUUCUCUCACUCAAGUUCAAGUAUCCCUACUUAGAGUAUCUGUACUGAGGUUUGUUAAAGUGUAAUGGGCAUGUGGAAUUGUGCCUAGGGAGGUCUGCCUUUCCAUUGGCGUAAUGUUGAUUGAACUUUUUUAUUGAAAGCAAAAGGAUUAUGAAUUAGUUGGGAUAUAAGUCAAAUCUCGAUAUUGGGAAGAACAAAGUUAAGUUACACAAGAAUUAACAUACUGCACAUGCCCUAUAAAGAGUUCAGCUAUUACUACACAACACGUGCUUCUUUGCUAAUAACUAACGAGUCUUGGUCUAACGAGUUCUGCGAACAAAAAUAAUCGUAGUAUCCAGAAAUCCAGAACUUUAGGCAUUUUGUGGUAAUUAUUGGGUCAGUUGGCUUUGAUUGAAAGGAGUCCACGAUAAGAUCGUAGUAUUGGUGAAUUGGCUUUGAUCGAAAGGAAUUUAUGAUAAAAUUGUAGUGCAGAUUUUUGAAUGAAAUCAAUUGGCUAGAUUGUGUAUUGAACAAUUGGGCCGUUUGGUCGAUUGCAUUGUUGAAUUGGCUCUGUUUAAACGAAUUUAUAGUACAAUCAUUGUAUUGGUUCCCAUGAUAUAAAUCAUGGCAAGUGAUAGCUUAUAGUGGAAAAUUUCUUCACAUUAGCCUAAUUUACAGUACAUGGAUGUGUGUCCUUCCGAUAUGUUUUCCGCCGUUACUUUAAUUGCGUGCUAAGUGUUCAAUAAAAUGUGAUUUUUUCUGCCAUCACUUCAAUUGCCUGCUAAGUGUUCGAUAAAAUGUGCUAGCUAUAAUAGCCUUGUGCUUUCAUUCAUGUUUUCUCAGAAUCGGCCCCUCACUUUAAGCCUAUUUCCACCAACAUCCUACAAACUCGAGGUACGCAAAAACUAUGUCCUUACUCCUUAAAAUAAGUUUUUCUCCGUUUGUGAAGAUGUACUUCAAUUGCCUGCUAAGUGUUCAAUAAAAUGUGCCAACUACAAUAGUCUUAUACUUUAAUUCAUGUGUUGAGCUGUGGUGGUAUAUGUAUUGUUCUUCAAUCUUUGUCAACUACAUAAUACCUAAACAGACUAAAGCAUUAUUACGAGAUACUAAAAACCACUUACGUGGGGGAAGAAGAAAACACGGCACACA